CUCCAUUGUACUUUUUCUACUUCUCAACAUAAAAUUCCUUUCCGGUGAGCUUUCUACUUCUUCAUAGCCAGAAGUUCGGCCAUGUCUUUCUACACACAACAAAAAAAUUGUUUGAUCAACAUAAGUAGAUAAAGAGCCGAAGGGGUGUGGUGACCUGGAGGUUUUCGUCGUCCUCUCACGUGCCACGCAUGUGGGUUAGCGGCAUUGUGUUGUUCGCGCAUAGCGCGACGGGUUCAGCUCCGUUGGCCUCUUCUCUUUCUUCUGGCAGUAACCCAUGUGCCUCCUGCUGCAUCGUCUGCCGCAUUGAUAGACUUGUUUCUCUAUUCGGCAGUAUCCAAUGCCUCUUCUUUCACCUAACAUCUCUCUCUCUUCUUCUGGACGAUGUUGCUCUGUUUCUCUUCUUACCACGCAAGGAGUGUUGAUCCUCGGUCUCUCGCGGUCUCUGGGUUGCAGUGGUAGCCGUUUGGUUCUCCUCCUUUUCCUCCGUUCGGUCAUGCAUCCUCUGUCUCUCGCUUUCUUUGUGUUGCAGUAGUCCAGAUCAGCUGCCGUCCGUUCGCGGCUCCUCCUCCUCCUCCUCCAUUGUGCCUUUUCUGCCUCUUCCUUUUCGGUGAGAAGACGGUUUUAUUCUCCUCAGCCGCCACUCCUCAAACCCCUCAAACACAGAACUACCGACAAUAACCACCAUUGUCCCUAAUAUAGGAUUCCCCCCUUCGUCACCCUCCGCUUUUUUUACCGUUUCUUCUUCUGUUUUUUUUUUUCCGUUUUUUCCUUUUUUCGCUUUUGCAUCCGUUCACUCCUCCUCCUCCUCCACCGCCACACCGUCUCCCUCUCCUUUAUCGGCUCCUUCUAUUCUACACCUAGCAUUAUGGGUUUCCCUUCUCCCACCAGCCCUAGGAUUUCCCUUCCGCCUCCCUCCAUUUCAACUUCAUUCUCGCCAGAUCCCCUCUCAGCCAUUGGAAGGGCUUUCAAAUCCGCCGCAAGCUCGUCGCCAUCAUCGGCAUCUCUCACUGCUUGUAUUGAGGCAAUUUUCAGCAACAACAAGAUGUACAAUGCGGAGAUGGCUACUGUGAUGGCAAGUCGAAGUUCAAAUUAUUGCUUGUAUGUGUUUGAAUGUCAUUGGAAACCUGGAGCUGGAAGGGACAUUGUCUACUUCGUGAAUUAAAUUGCAUUUCAUCUUAUGCCUAUAACGAUGUAAUGAAAGCUUUUGCAGAGUGUAACAAGUUUGGAAAUCUCCCAUAUGGCUUCAGAGCUAACACAUGGCUUAUUCCCCCUGUAGUGGCAUUAUCACCUUCUAUUUUUCCACCUCUUCCCACUGAGGAUGAAAGGUGGGGAGGAAAUGGAGGCGGUCUUGGCAGAGAUGGCAAAAGUGAUUUACUACCUUAUGCUAAUGAAUUUUCAUUUCUUGCUUCUAUGCCAUGCAAGAUAGCAAUGGAGAGGUAGAUUCGAGACAGAAAAGCUUUCCUUCUUCAUUGCUUGUUUGUAGAUGUUGCCAUUUGUAGAGCUAUUUCCGCUGUCCAGUUUGUAAUGCGAAUGCCAGAAUUAGCUCGUUCCGCUGUAAGCACUCAGACAAGUUGUACAGAGAGAGUAGGAGAUUUAUGUGUAUCUGUCACAAAAGAUGUUUUAGAUGCUAGCUGCAAAGUAGAUACUGAGAUUGAUGGGGCUCAGGCCACUGAUGUAGACACAGAAAAGUUAAUUGAAAGGAACCUACUGAAGGGGAUCACAGCUGAUGAAAAUACUGCUGCCCAUGACAUUGCCACUCUAGGGUUUGUUAUCAUAAGAUUUUGUGGUCAUAUUGUUACCGUAAAAGUGCAAGGGAGAGAGGAUGAAAAUUUGGGUCCUCCAUUACAAAGCCUUGAACUGCUUGCUCAGCCUGAAGGAGGAGCCAACGCCCUCAACAUAAACAGGUUCACCCACUAGAUUGUGUCAUUCAGCUGUUUAAGAAGUAAUUAAUUACGACUCUAGAUUUCUCUCUUUUCCUGUUCUCUUUGUUUAUCUGAUGCCAAGGAACUGCAAUUUAUUUGGAACUUGUAAAAUGACUUGUUAGCUUGACUUAUGGCCUUGUUGAUUUUACAUCUUGAAAUGCUUAUAUAUGUAUCCAGUCGAGCAUUAGUGAGGAACUAUGAAUCAUUGGCACAUGGAUACAACUUUUGAUUACCUCUCUCUUUUCCUUCAAAAGAAUUAUUUAUUUUUCUUUAAUUUUUUCGUUCCCCUAUAUCCCUUUUUGGCUGACACUAAUUGCCGAAUAAGCUGCAGUUUUGUGUUAAGAUUUUGAGAUUUCUUAAUGUACUGAUAAUUGAGCAGUUGGUUGUAGAGAAUAAAGAACAAACAGGUUUUGAUUCUUCUCGGUACCAUUGUCCAAAUUCUGAAAAUUUCCCGACUACAUGGCUGGCUGGGUUUUGCUGUAAGUUGAGUGCUAUUUUUGGCUGCAGAUUAAGGUUGAUGGUGCUGUUGUCACGGAUCCCAACACAAUCCUCAGAGCUGGCUCAGAACUCGUCUAUCACCGGCUUCCUUGGAAAGAGCCUCAUGCACCUUACCUCAGUUUGCUGGUGUUCGAUCAAAAAGGGAUAGAGAAGUUGUAUCCAUGGCACUUUGCAUUUUCCGUCUGAUGAUUUACCCCGCUGCAAAUUUAAUGUUCAGCAAGUUGCUGCUGUUGUUUAUCGCUUCAAGCUUUGACAAUGGACUUAUCAAGCUUUAAUAAUGAAUGUACUUCGGUUACCUCAGUUUGAUGUUCAGCUUUGAUAAUAGAUGUUCCAAUGGAAUGUACUUAUUAGCCUUUGAUGUUUAGCAAUAAAGUUGAUGCUAACUUUGGUUACAGGCCUGAAUAGCAUUUUGGAUGGUGCA